AUUGAACGCUGGCGGCAGGCUUAACACAUGCAAGUCGAGCGGAGUGAUGGUGCUUGCACUAUCACUUAGCGGCGGACGGGUGAGUAAUGCUUAGGAAUCUGCCAUUUAGUGGGGGACAACAUUCCGAAAGGAAUGCUAAUACCGCAUACGUCCUACGGGAGAAAGCAGGGGAUCUUCGGACCUUGCGCUAAAUGAUGAGCCUAAGUCGGAUUAGCUAGUUGGUGGGGUAAAGGCCUACCAAGGCGACGAUCUGUAGCGGGUCUGAGAGGAUGAUCCGCCACACUGGGACUGAGACACGGCCCAGACUCCUACGGGAGGAAGCAGUGGGGAAUAUUGGACAAUGGGCGGAAGCCUGAUCCAGCCAUGCCGCGUGUGUGAAGAAGGCCUUUUGGUUGUAAAGCACUUUAAGCGAGGAGGAGGCUACUAGUACUAAUACUACUGGAUAGUGGACGUUACUCGCAGAAUAAGCACCGGCUAACUCUGUGCCAGCAGCCGCCGCAGUAA
rnacentral:rRNA from 1 species